rnacentral:rRNA from 1 species
UACCUCAGUAACGGCGAGUGAAGCGGUAACAGCUCAAAUUUGAAAUCUGGCAGCAAUGUCCGAGUUGUAAUUUGUAGAGGAUGUUUCGAGCAUGGUCUGGCCUAAGUUCCUUGGAACAGGACGUCAUAGAGGGUGAGAAUCCCGUAUGCGGUCAGGUGCCUACGCUCAUGUGAAACUCCUUCGACGAGUCGAGUUGUUUGGGAAUGCAGCUCAAAAUGGGUGGUAAAUUUCAUCUAAAGCUAAAUAUUGGCCAGAGACCGAUAGCGCACAAGUAGAGUGAUCGAAAGAUGAAAAGCACUUUGGAAAGAGAGUUAAACAGUACGUGAAAUUGUUGAAAGGGAAGCGCUUGCAACCAGACUUGCACGCAGCUGAUCAUCCGCUGUUCUCAGUGGUGCACUCGGUUGCGUUCAGGCCAGCAUCGGUUUUGGUGGUGGGAUAAAGGCCUUAGGAAUGUAGCUGCUUUCGGGCAGUGUUAUAGCCUAGGGUGCAAUGCCGCCUACUGGGACCGAGGACCGCGCUUCGGCUAGGAUGCUGGCGUAAUGGUUGUAAGCGACCCGUCUUGAAACACGGACCAAGGAGUCUAACAUCUAUGCGAGUGUUUGGGUGUCAAACCCAUACGCGUAAUGAAAGUGAACGGAGGUCAGAACCCUUAAGGGUGCAUGAUCGACCGGUCCUGAAGUCUUCGGAUGGAUCUGAGUAAGAGCAUAGCUGUUGGGACCCGAAAGAUGGUGAACUAUGCCUGAAUAGGGUGAAGCCAGAGGAAACUCUGGUGGAGGCUCGCAGCGGUUCUGACGUGCAAAUCGAUCGUCAAAUUUGGGUAUAGGGGCGAAAGACUAAU